UACAGAGGUCUCAAGCGUUGUUCGGAUUCAUUGGGCGUAAAGGGUGCGUAGGUGGCGCCGUAAGUCAGGUGUGAAAUUUCGGAGCUUAACUCCGAAACUGCAUUUGAUACUGCGGUGCUUGAGGACUGGAGAGGAGACUGGAAUUCACGGUGUAGCAGUGAAAUGCGUAGAUAUCGUGAGGAAGACCAGUGGCGAAGGCGGGUCUCUGGACAGUUCCUGACACUGAGGCACGAGGGCUAGGGGAGCAAACGGG
rnacentral:rRNA from 1 species